AGAGUUUGAUCCUGGCUCAGGAUGAACGCCGGCGGUGUGCCUAAUACAUGCAAGUCGUACGCACUGGCCCAACUGAUUGAUGGUGCUUGCACCUGAUUGACGAUGGAUCACCAGUGAGUGGCGGACGGGUGAGUAACACGUAGGUAACCUGCCCCGGAGCGGGGGAUAACAUUUGGAAACAGAUGCUAAUACCGCAUAACAACAAAAGCCACAUGGCUUUUGUUUGAAAGAUGGCUUUGGCUAUCACUCUGGGAUGGACCUGCGGUGCAUUAGCUAGUUGGUAAGGUAACGGCUUACCAAGGCGAUGAUGCAUAGCCGAGUCGAGAGACUGAUCGGCCACAAUGGAACUGAGACACGGUCCAUACUCCUACGGGAGGCAGCAGUAGGGAAUCUUCCACAAUGGGCGCAAGCCUGAUGGAGCAACACCGCGUGAGUGAAGAAGGGUUUCGGCUCGUAAAGCUCUGUUGUUGGAGAAGAACGUGCGUGAGAGUAACUGUUCACGCAGUGACGGUAUCCAACCAGAAAGUCACGGCUAACUACGUGCCAGCAGCCGCGGUAAUACGUAGGUGGCAAGCGUUAUCCGGAUUUAUUGGGCGUAAAGCGAGCGCAGGCGGUUGCUUAGGUCUGAUGUGAAGCCUUCGGCUUAACCGAAAAAAGUGCAUCGG
rnacentral:rRNA from 1 species